UGCCUGGAGUGAAGAUUCUGCCCAUUGGUCAAGAGACCUCCCUCUCAGAUGCUGGCUCUGCCCCUGCCUUUGGGGGUCGACCCUUGUACUCGCAGGACCUUAGGUGACUCUAUUCUACUUCUCUGAUCAUCCAGGAAGCCAACCUGCCUGAGGACGAGUCAUACUCUGUCCUCCCACCCCAGGCCAGAGAGUGGUAUCUGUCUUUCCACAAGUUGAGCUGGCCAUAAAGACAUUCUCUGACCUACUCUGUUUGAUAGUAGGUCCUCAGAUCCGCAUUCCAAAGGGAUCCUGUCCCAUACUUGGGAGCAAGAAAUGCCACACAGAGAGGCCAUGAAGAACUCAAACAGAGAGGCCUUGCUGGGUCCUUCUUUCAGUCUAUGACUCUUAGAUUACAGCCUUUUGUCCCAUCACACUUCUGCAUUCUGCACAGCCUUUGUGAAUUCUAAGUAUGCAAGUGGCCAGUUUCUUUGGAUAUCUGAGUCUUCAUUUAUGAAGACUCCAGUGUCAGGGAUCUGAAUGAUGCAGUGUCGCAAUCCCAUUUUAUAAAUGAGGCAACCAAAACUCGAACAGGACCAUAUUGCGACUGAAACAAGGCAUAACAGGUCUUUGACUGGCUAUCCUGUGGAUGUGGACUCAGGCUAGCCUGCGCAAAGUGAAAGACAGGCAAUUAGAUUGAAAAAUACCUGUGAUUCAAAGAAGUCACAAGUCACAGAGACAAACUUUUCCCAGUGUGUUCGAGUCAGAGAACCUUUGCAAAGACCAACAGGCUAAAAGAGAAAAUACAAUGUCAUGACACAGCUAGAAUAUGUUUCCAAGCCUCCCCAACACGUGUGACUGUGUAUAAUUGAGUUCUAACCACAGGAAGCUUGAUGCAGAUGAGCAGGUAACCAUGGAAGUCGUGAGCUGAGGCUGCAGAGUCUAGAGCCAGAGUGUGGAAUAAACUUGGGUCUCAAAUCACCCCUGGAGCAAAGCACCCAUCUAAUCAGGAACUUCUACUUUCAACUUUACAUGCGUGAGAAAUGAACUUCUA
rnacentral:lncRNA from 1 species